rfam:Acetobacterium wieringae strain DSM 1911 ACWI_contig000035, whole genome shotgun sequence.
ACGUAAUAUUGGCAUACUUAUUGAAAAGUAAGGACGCAAAACUACAGGGUCUAAAUACGGUGGUACAUGACAGCCAGUUGCAAUU